rnacentral:rRNA from 1 species
CAGUCGCCGCGGGAAUACAGAGGGUGCGAGCGUUAAUCGGAUUUACUGGGCGUAAAGCGUGCGUAGGCGGCUUCUUAAGUCGGAUGUGAAAUCCCUGAGCUUAACUUAGGAAUUGCAUUCGAUACUGGGAAGCUAGAGUAUGGGAGAGGAUGGUAGAAUUCCAGGUGUAGCGGUGAAAUGCGUAGAGAUCUGGAGGAAUACCGAUGGCGAAGGCAGCCAUCUGGCCUAAUACUGACGCUCAUGCACGAAAGCGUGGGGAGCAAACAGGAUUAGAUACCCCUGUAGUCCCUGUCUCUUAUAC